AUUGAACGCUAGCGGGAUGCUUUACACAUGCAAGUCGAACGGCAGCGCGGACUUCGGUCUGGCGGCGAGUGGCGAACGGGUGAGUAAUGUAUCGGAACGUGCCCAGUAGCGGGGGAUAACUACGCGAAAGCGUAGCUAAUACCGCAUACGCCCUACGGGGGAAAGCAGGGGAUCGUAAGACCUUGCACUAUUGGAGCGGCCGAUAUCGGAUUAGCUAGUUGGUGAGGUAACGGCUCACCAAGGCGACGAUCCGUAGCUGGUUUGAGAGGACGACCAGCCACACUGGGACGGAGACACGGCCCAGACUCCUACGGGAGGCAGCAGUGGGGAAUUUGGGGCAAUGGGGGCAACCCUGAUCCAGCCAGCCCGCGUGUGCGAUGAAGGCCUUCGGGUUGUAAAGCACUUUUGGCAGGAAAGAAACGUCGCGGGCUAAUACCCCGUGGAACUGACGGUACCUGCAGAAUAAGCACCGGCUAACUACGUG
rnacentral:rRNA from 1 species